rnacentral:lncRNA from 1 species
GAGAAACUAAUACACUGUACAUGGACCUCAUUUCACCUCUGUGAUUUCAUAGAUUACGGAAAACUCAAUUACCCUGCUGCCUUAGAAGAAUGGAGGUAUUAUGUUAGAAGAAAGACAUACAACUCAGACCCAAAUGGCAUGUGGUAACAGUGGACUCAGACUGACAGUUACAAGUGUAACUUCACUCCUACAACUGCAGCAGACCAGCAAACUAAAUGUGUUUGGAAGAGGACAUGGAUACAAGAAGAUGAUGGAGUGCACACUGAGAACAAUAUGGUUUUGAAUAUGGCUCAGAAGGCCCUGGAAAGUAGAUCAUUCGGAGAGACAUAGAAGAUCAAUGGUAGUCCAGACACGAGACAAGUCAUGGUGCUGCUCUAGAGUUCUAUCCAUCUUGCACUCUGGGGACUAUAUUUCACUUUUCAUUACUUCCUGAUCAAACUGAACCUUGGUGUUCUGCUUGUUCCACCUGUGCCCUGCUGUGAAUUCAUCUCCUUCAGGAAGACAAGAAGCAAAACUCCUGCCAAGCUUGGGAUCUGGUGGAAGAGAAGAGGAAGUGUUCUCAUGCAUUUCAGUAAGACUUUCAUCUCAGGACAUAAG